rnacentral:rRNA from 1 species
CGCUGGUAGCGUGGAUUAGGCAUGCAAGUCGGACGGGAUCCAUGAAGUAGCAAUACGGAAUGGUGAGAGUGGCGGACUGGGAGGAGCACGUGAGCAACCUGCCCUGGAGAUGGGGAAAACCGUUGGAAACGACGGCUAAUACCGAAUGUGGCGCGGCGGCGGCAUCGCUGCUGCGCGAAGGGGGCCGCAAGGCUCCCGCUCCGGGAUGGGCUCGCGCACCAUCAGCUUGUUGGCGGGGUAACGGCCCACCAAGGCUUACGGUUAGCUGGUCUGAGAGGAUGACCAGCCCCACUGGGACUGAGAUACUGCCCAGACUCCUACGGGAGGCUGCAGUCGAGGAUCAUUUGCAAUGGGCGAAAGCCUGACAAUGCGACGCUGCGUGGAGGAUGAAGGCCUUCGGGUCGUAAACUCCUGUCAUGAGGGAACAGGCGAGAAGACCUAAUACGUCUUUUAGUUGAGUGUACUUCAAGAGGAAGCGACGGCUAACUCUGUGCCAGCCGCGGC